AACGAACGCUGGCGGCAUGCCUAACACAUGCAAGUCGAACGAGAUCUUCGGGUCUAGUGGCGCACGGGUGCGUAACGCGUGGAAAUCUGCCCUUUGGUUCGGAAUAACAGUUGGAAACGACUGCUAAUACCGGAUGAUGACGAAAGUCCAAAGAUUUAUCGCCAGAGGAUGAGCCCGCGUAGGAUUAGCUAGUUGGUGUGGUAAAGGCGAACCAAGGCGACGAUCCUUAGCUGGUCUGAGAGGAUGAUCAGCCACACUGGGACUGAGACACGGCCCAGACUCCUACGGGAGGCAGCAGUGGGGAAUAUUGGACAAUGGGCGAAAUCCUGAUCCAGCAAUGCCGCGUGAGUGAUGAAGGCCUUAGGGUUGUAAAGCUCUUUUACCCGGGAUGAUAAUGACAGUACCGGGAGAAUAAGCUCCGGCUAACUCCGUGCCAGCCGCCGCAGUAA
rnacentral:rRNA from 1 species